ensembl:lncRNA
GUCUAUUUGUCAUUAGUAAGAGGCCCUUCCUGUGUGGUGGGCCUGGGAUCCAGCACUGAAGGGCCUGGAGUAGAGCGUCCGGUCCCCUGGAGGCAGGAGGCUCAUAGGAGUUGGAUAAGACACACGGGCUUUUCAUGGUGGUGUCACUUGGCUGCCAGCAGGGUGGGCCACCUAGGACUACACCCCCACCCCACCCCCCGCCUGUCCAAAAUGUUGAACAGACUGGAGGGAAACAGGCAGGAGGCAGAGUGCAGCCACUCCGAGACAGCACCUUGAGCUGAACAGUCUCCCUCCCUCCCAGUUUCCUAAGGUUUUGGAGCAGUUGAUUUCCCAUGGAAACAAGCAGAAAUCUGUUUUAAUCAUCGGGCAUUUUUAGUUUCCUAAUUUGUAUGGGAACCUGGAGAUACUGACAUAUGGUACAUUCAUCGUCCUGGAAAGCUACAGCUGAAAGAAAAAUAGUUAAAGCCAGUCUUAAAACUGGAACGCUUCUUCAUAUGCCUUCAAAUGACUUUCCUUAAUCAGAGUCUGUCAACAGCGCUGCCAAAAGACUUGCUUCUGCUUCAGCUCAGCCCUUCUAGCAGGAUUUGCAUUUGAACCCUGGCUUACAAUAGCUGCUGACUCUGUUGGUGAUCAUCUCACCAAAAGCCCUGGAGAGGUGUCAAUAAUCAGGUAAAAAAAGCAAGCAGGGAUAAUCCAAGAGCUCCAGGAAGGAGGGUGAAGCUGAUACCGAAACCCCCUCCAGGUGGAAGAAGUUACAAUUAACCGUGGUAUGCUGCCCACAAGCAUGUAGACCCCAGACCAAUUGAAACCUGAAGGUUGAUGAUACAGACUCCUGCUUACCUCACCACCAACACAUCAGAAGAGCAUCCACGAGCUGAUCACAGGCCCUCUUUGAAGCAUUACUAUAAAACUUCUCACUGUCCUUUCCAUGUGGGGGGACACAUAGUUUUCUGAGGCAGGCACCUGCUGUAUUCCCCUGUGCCUGGCAAAGUAAUAAAACUA